GACGAACGCUGGAGGUGUGCUUAACACAUGCAAGUCGCACGAGAUUAGUUGAUAGCUUGCUAUUAAUUGAUCUAGUGGCGGACGGGUGAGAAACACGUAAGUAACCUACCCUUAAGUUGGGGAUAACACUGGGAAACUAGUGCUAAUACCGAAUAAGUUUGCCGAUUCGCAUGAAUUGGUAAAUAAAGGAGUAAUCCGCUUUUGGAUGGGCUUGCGCCUGAUUAGCUAGUUGGUGGGGUAAUGGCUUACCAAGGCAACGAUCAGUAGCUGGUCUGAGAGGAUGAACAGCCACACUGGGACUGAGAUACGGCCCAGACUCCCACGGGAGGCAGCAGUGGGGAAUUUUGCACAAUGGGGGAAACCCUGAUGCAGCGACACCUCGUGAGUGAUGAAGCCUUUAGGGGUGUAAAGCUCUGUCGGCAGGGAAGAUUAUGACGGUACCUGCAGAGGAAGCUCCGGCUAACUACGUGCCAGCAGCCGCGGUAAUACGUAGGGAGCAAGCGUUGUCCGGAUUUAUUGGGCGUAAAGCGUGCGUAGGUGGUUUUGUAAGUUAGGUGUUAAAUGCAUGGGCUCAACCCGUGUUCGCGCUUAAUACUGCAAGACUAGAGGAUAGGAGAGGAAAGUGGAACUAACGGUGUAGCGGUGAAAUGCGUAGAUAUUGUUAGGAACACCAGUGGCGAAGGCGACUUUCUGGACUAUAUCUGACACUGAGGUACGAAAGCGUGGGGAGCAAACAGGAUUAGAUACCCUGGUAGUCCACGCUGUAAACAAUGGUCACUAGGUGUGGGGGGUGUCGACCCCUUCCGUGCCGUAGCUAACGCGUUAAGUGACCCGCCUGGGAAGUACGAUCGCAAGAUUAAAACUCAAAGAAAUUGACGGGGGCCCGCACAAGCAGUGGAACAUGUGGUUUAAUUCGACGAUACCCGAAAAACCUUACCUGGGUUUGACAUCCAUAAAAUUUUAUAGAGAUAUGAAAGUGCCCGCAAGGGAAUUAUGAGACGGGUGCUGCAUGGCUGUCGUCAGCUCGUGUCGUGAGAUGUUGGGUUAAGUCCCGCAACGAGCGCAACCCUUAUUGUGUGUUACCAGCAUUUAAAGAUGGGGACUCACACGAGACUGCCCAUGGAAAGUGGGAGGAAGGUGGGGAUGACGUCAAGUCAUCAUGGCCUUUAUAUCCAGGGCUACACACAUGUUACAAUGGCGCGUACAAUGGGUUGCCAAACCGCAAGGCGGAGCUAAUCUCAAAAAGCGCGUCUCAGUUCGGAUUGUAGGCUGCAACUCGCCUACAUGAAGCCGGAAUUGCUAGUAAACGCAGAUCAGCAUGCUGCGUUGAAUACGUUCCCGGGCCUUGUACACACCGCCCGUCACACCAUGAAAGCUGGGAGUACCCAAAGCCAAUGAGCUAACCGUAAGGAGGCAGUUGUCUAAGGUAAAAUCAGUGAUUGGGGUG
rnacentral:rRNA from 1 species